ensembl:snoRNA
AACCAAAGCGUUGAGUUCAGUUCAGGGUGUUGCCCCUGUUCUGGUAAUUAAGCUUUGGGACAGUGAGUGACUGGGAAGUGCACCGUGGUGACUGAAAGCUUGUUUUAGGCCACCUGUGUUUCUCAGCCUACAAGC